GGAGCACUAAAAAUGGAUGAAAUGAGGGUUGUAGAAGGAUAAUUGGAUUUGAUGGUGCAUUUCUAAAGGGUGUGUGUAAAGGUGAACUAUUGUCUUGUAUUUUCAAGGAUGGAAAUAAUCAAAUGUACCCUGUAGCAUGGACAGUAGUUGAUAAAGAAUCCAAGGAUACAUGGUCUUGGUUUAUGAAAUGCAUCAAGCAUGAUUUGGAGCUGACACAAACUGGAGAAAAAUGGAUUCAGAAUUGGAACUUCAACUGCAGGAACUGCUGCUGUAACUACUAAAAUGCCCACCACUACUUCAGCAGCUCCUACAGGUGUAACUGCUAGUACGGAGAUGCCCACCAUUGCUUCAGCAGCUGCUGGAACUUCAACUACAAGUGCUACAAAUAUUUUUGUAAAUGUUGAAAGUGUUUCUCAGCCAACAAGUCAAUUCAAUACUCAAUAGUCAACUACUGGUGCUGGUGUCUCAAAGAGGAAGAAUAACACAAUUAAAAGAGAUGGUGCAAAUCCUGGAUAUAAGAGGCCAAGAACAUCUGAUUUUGGUGUGCUAUUUGGAGAAAAUGGUAGUGUGAUACAGAGGCUUGGAACUGUUGAUAGAGUGCUACAUAGUCCUACAUUGAAGAGUUCAGUGCCUAUCAAUAUUGAUCUUGGAUACAAACCUAAUGGACUAAGGUGGAAGGGUAGAGAUGCAGUUACUCAAACACAACUACAAGAAGAAAGUUACAAAAGAGCAAACUGUUCUACAAAUACUCAUGCCACUACAAGCACUCAGUCCAGAACAACUAAUGUCACACCAGCACUCAAGACACAUAGUUUUUCACAAUAAAGACUUAUAUAAAGUCUAGCU